GGACCCUGAAAGACAACUCUCUGCAACUUUAAGAACAUGGACUGGGCUUGAAGGGGCAGUAAGGAAAGAAUGAUUCAUUUUGACUGUGAUUGCUGGGAAAGAUAUCUUGAAAUGGAGACUGUGAGUAGAAAAAGGCCUGGGAAUUGCAUUUAAGCAAGGGAAGGCAUUAGCCCAUUGGGAAGAGUGAACAACUUCUUCAAGUUCAAAGGGUUCAGGGGAACCUGGGCAUCCAAGAUUUGGUCCCUUCUUGCUCUAUUCUGAAGACAGCUCCUACGACACUAAUUCAAGGAUCAGUGGCUGGAUUCGAGAAAAAAUGGAAAACGGUUGUUGCAAGGGUGUCAACUGCUUGGAAUGCUGCCGGCAACCGGGUUCUGAGACUCCCUAGGCUUUCUGAAAGCAUCUGAAUGUCUGUCCAACUGCAAGCUACGUCAUGGAAACAGGACCGCCCUGAGGGGCUCUCCAAUAUGAAUGCCAGGGCUGCCAGAUUCCACAGACAAGAAUAAAGGGCAUCCAGUGAAUUCUGAAUUUCAGAGAAGCAGCAUUUUUUUCAUUAAAAGUGGAUGAAGUUUUGUGUUUGCUCUACUGACCUGAAGUGAGGAACAACCACAUACAUCUUUGUCUUCACUCUGUCCAGCUGUCAACUGCAUUGUUCCCUCACGUCUUCCUGCAAAGUACCAUUAUUUCCACACCUUAAGAAUUAAAGAGUGAAGAGAAAACGACAAAAUGUUCUUGUUUAUCAGGAGAUGGGGGUGAGCUGAGCUUUCCACAAGGUCCUGAAUGGAUGAGAAGGACCCAAAACAUAUGGAAAAUAUGGAGAAUAGGGUAUAAGUAAUAAAAAUAAAAAUAAAAUAAAUAAAAUAAAUUGGGAAU
rnacentral:lncRNA from 10 species